UAAUACGACGAUUUAUACCGGUAUUCGUAGAUAUUUGAUGCUAAAUUCGCCAAACUAUUGCCAAAUUUGCAACCUGCAACUCGUUUCACCUUCCUUUCACGCGAUUUUUGGUCGUUUCUUGAUCAGGUGUAAUAUGCUCAUUUUGGUGGAGAAAUGAUUUUAUAGUUGAAGUUGCCCCUCCUAGGAAGUAGAGCCCAUCUUCACUUUGGCACAUGGGAGUUAGAGGUGGUGGUUUCCGCUUAUUUGAGACCUGUAGCCUCUUGGUAUGAGCAUUUUGAAGGUGAUCUGAAGGCGUAUCAGACCAAAGACAUCAAGAAGACUUACUUUCCUGAAGGGCACCAUUUUUAGUGAAGAAUGUUAAGGAAAGGAGCCAGUUCGUGGGGUUAUAUCAAGCUCAGAUCAGAUUAUAUGAUGCCCUUGGACAUCACAUUUCCCUCUAUUCUUCAGAUGAAGGGUUGCUGGGUCAAAUCAUGGGCAAUGUUGAAGUCACUGUGAUGAAAAACACACUCUCUUUUGGAACACAGUGGUAAAGGAAUAGGGGUUGGGUUGCAGAUUGCGCAUUUUCUUGGUCACCUACCAUUGUAUUCUCAGACAUACCACCUGGCCAAACAGAAGGAAAGACUUCUUCCUAUAGCCACCACAUCUAUUUGCUUCAUACUGAACUUUCAUUAAGCUAUGUGUGGCUCUUCAUCAAAGCCAUGGGGUUAAUUGGAACUUCAAAUCAAUUUCUGUUGUCAAAGAAAUCCAUUCUAUUUCUAAACAAGGUGUUUACUGAAGGUCAGAUAUAUCUCUUCUCAUGAUACUACAUCAAUACAUCUUCAAUUUACUUUACAUUUCAAAGACUACAGGGUAAAUUUUAUGUGUUGCGUUGUCAAUCUCAUCUGAUAAAUAUA